rnacentral:rRNA from 1 species
UUGGGAUAACUUCAGGAAACUGGGGCUAAUACCGGAUAGGAGGCUCCUGCUGCAUGGUGGGGGUUGGAAAGUUUCGGCGGUUGGGGAUGGACUCGCGGCUUAUCAGCUUGUUGGUGGGGUAGUGGCUUACCAAGGCUUUGACGGGUAGCCGGCCUGAGAGGGUGACCGGCCACAUUGGGACUGAGAUACGGCCCAG